CCUGGUUGAUCAUGCCAGUAGUCAUAUGCUUGUCUCAAAGAUUAAGCCAUGCAUGUCUAAGUAUGAACUAAUUCAAACUGUGAAACUGUGGAUGGCUCAUUAAAUUAGUUAUUGUUUUUUUUAUGGUACCAUACUACUUGGAUAACCGUAGUAAUUCUAGAGCUAAUAUGUGCACAAAGUUUUGACUCUUUGGAAGGGAUGCAUUUUUCAGAUAAGAGGUCGUCGCGAGCUUUCCCACUUCUUCAGUGAAUCAUGAUAACUUAACGGGUCGUGCAACCCUUGUGCUGGCGAUGCUUCAUUCAAAUUUCUUCCCUAUCAAAUUUCAAUGGUAGGAUAGAGGCCUACCAUGGUUGUGAUGGGUGAUGGAGAAUUCGGGUUCGAUUCCAGAGUGGGAGCCUGAGAAAUGACUACCACAUCCAAGGGAGGCAGCAGGGGCGCAAAUUACCCAAUCCUGACAUGGGGAGGUAGUGACAAUAAAUAACAAUACUGGGCUCAUCAAGUUUGGUAAUUGGAAUGAGUACAAUCUAAAUCCCUUAACAAGGAUCCAUUGGAGGGAAAUUUUGGUGCUAGCAACUGCGGUAAUUCUAGCUCCAAUAGCGUAUAUUUAACUUGUUACAGUUAAAAAGCUCGUAGUUGGAUCUUGGGUCGUAAAGGUCAAUCCGCCUACUCGAUGUGCACCUGCCUUCUGUCCCUUUUAUCGGCAGCAUGCUCCUAGACUUAAUUGGUUGGGUCGUGGCUCCAGCGCUGUUACUUUGAAAAAAUUAGAGUGCUCAAAGCAAGCUUAUGCUCUGAAUACAUUUGCAUGGAAUAACAUGAUAGGAGUAUGAUCCUAUUGUGUUGGUCUUCGAGACCGGAGUAAUGAUUAAUAGGGACUAUUGUGGGCAUUCACAUUUCAUUGUCAGAGGUGAAAUUCUUGGAUUUAUGAAAGGACCACUACAAAAGCAUUUUCCAAGGAUGUUUUCAUUAAUCAAGAAUGAAUGUUGGGGGCUUGAAGACGAUCAAAUACCGUCCUAGUAUAAACCAUAAACGAUGCUAACCAGGGAUUGGCGGAUGUUGCUCUAAGGACUCGACCAACACAUUCUGAGAAAUCAGAGUGUUUGGCUUCCAGGGGGAGUAUGGUCACAAGGUUGAAACUUGAAGGAAUUGAUGGAAGGGCACCACCAGGAAUGGAGCUUGCUGCUUAAUUUGACUCAACACGGGGAAACUUGCCAGGUCUAGACAUAGUAAGGAUUGACAAAUUGAGAGCUCUUUCUUGAUUCUAUGGGUGGUGGUGCAUGGCUGUUGUUAGUUGGUGGAGUAAUUUUUCUAGUUAAUUCCGAUAACGAACGAGACCUUAGCCUGCUAGCUAGCUACACAGAGGUUCCCCUUCAUGACCAGCUUUUUAGAGGGACUAUGGCAAUUUAGGCCAUGGAAGUUUGAGGUAAUAAUAGGUAUGUGAUGCCCUUAGAUGUUAUGGGCUGCCCACAUGCUACACUGACGUAGCCAACAAGUUUUUCUUCCUGGUUUAAGAGGAUCAGGAAAUAUUCUCAAAUUGCAUCAUGGUGGGGAUAGACCAUUGCAAUUAUUGGUCUUCAAAAAUGAAUUCCUAGUAAGCAUGUGUCAUCAACUCAUGUUGAUAGCAUCCCUACCCUUUGUACACAUCACUCGUCACUCCUACCGAUUGAAUGAUCUGGUGAAGUGUUCGGAUUGUGUCAAUGAUGGUGGUUCACCGUCGUUGACGUCAAAAGAAGUUCAUUGAACCUUAUCAUUUAGAGGAAGGUGAUGUCAUAACAAGGUUACUGUAGGUGAACCUAUGGUAG
rnacentral:rRNA from 1 species